AGGGGCGGAUGUAGCCAAGUGGAUUAAGGCAGUGGAUUGUGAAUCCACC
rnacentral:tRNA from 1 species